rnacentral:lncRNA from 1 species
UUUUAGCUUUAGAAUGAGCGUAGAUAAAUGAACUUCAUUAAGAUUUCUGUAAGGCAAUGAAUGGUCUGAUCAAAUUGGUCAAGCAUCAUGACUUUUGAGCACCUUAGGAUUUCUGGCAUAUGUUUUGAUGUUGUAAACAUUAGUUUGUGUUUCAUUGAGACUUUUAAUUUGUAAUUCGAUAUACUUGAACAGGUUGUUUAAUACUAGUUAACUUUUGUCGUGAGCAUGUCUAUUUGUGUGUAAUUGGAAUUAUAUUGGGAAAUAUUACUGAAAAUUCUAGAAUUUUGCAAAAAUAUUAAAAAUUUAUGUUUUUUUCUUGUCUUAUUUUUUGGUGCUAUGGAGAUGUUUUUUGGUGCUAUGUAGAUUUGUUAUUAUUUGACACCUGUUAUUUUUUGGUGGUGUGUUUGUAGAUUUAAUGGUGCUGGGACUUGUGUUUCUAUCAUCGAUUUUUUGGUGGUGUGUUUGGAGAUUUAAUGGUGCUGUUAUUGAACAGCACCAACAAAUCCUAUUAUUUGGUGGUAUAUUUGUUGGUGCUCUAUGAUACAACACAAAAUAAAGCAUAAAAUACAGAACCAAAAAAGUUAUUUUGUACUAGUGGUGAUUGCUUGCCGACGCGGGGAAGAAGAGAGAGAGAGAGUGAGGGAGCAGGAGAGAGGGAGUGUAUGAGAGAGAGGGUGUUGUGGGGUGGGGUCCAUGCCAUCUCUCAACCAAUCACACCUUUUUCCUUUUUUUUUUAAAAGUUUACCACUUCACCAAGUGUUUAAACCAUUGCCAACACUUUUCACCAAAGUUUAAACACUUUUUACUGAUUGACGUGGCACACUCUCAUUGGUUGAUUUUUUAGUUUGCCACUCCAAAAUGUUUAACCACUCCUUACACCCUAAUAUUUAUUUUUAUGAUUUUAAGUGCAAGUGCGAGUACUGCGCACCAUAACAAGUACAAGUACCGUAUCCGGUUUGUGUUUUUCCUUUCACGGACUAUAGUCUGGCACAACUUGUUGCUCGUCUUCCUGUCAUUAGUCUGUAAUCGUCUCUAUUUUAAAUGUUUAUAUGUCUUAAAUGUUUAAAUGUCGUUAAUAAAAAAACCUCCUAAUUGUCGCCUUAAAAAAAACUAAAUUAAACUAAACUGAUGUUAUAUUUCCAAAACUUACAAUUAAAUAAAAAUCUCUUUAACUCAAUCCUGAAAAAAAAUACCUGCUCUUUGAGAGCAACGGCAGCUUCCAGAAACGUCUCCGGUGAAAGUGACAAAUUAGCGGCACCAUCAACCGUCGGACAACUUAUUUUAUUGAGAAAAUCGAGCUGUUCAUAACCGCCGUCAUUGUUAUCGCUGGAAGAAGUGAAAUUUACUACGGAUGACAUGAUCUGUGUUAUGAAUACAGUUUACAGUGCUUGCUCUUCGU